CAGUAGCCGCGGUAAUACGUAGGUCCCGAGCGUUGUCCGGAUUUAUUGGGCGUAAAGCGAGCGCAGGCGGUUAGAUAAGUCUGAAGUUAAAGGCUGUGGCUUAACCAUAGUACGCUUUGGAAACUGUUUAACUCGAGUGCAGAAGGGGAGAGUGGAAUUCCAUGUGUAGCGGUGAAAUGCGUAGAUAUAUGGAGGAACACCGGUGGCGAAAGCGGCUCUCUGGUCUGUAACUGACGCUGAGGCUCGAAAGCGUGGGGAGCAAACAGGAUUAGAUACCCCAGUAGUCCCUGUCUCUUAUACC
rnacentral:rRNA from 1 species